AAGUUUUUGAAGAACCAACUCUGAGAGAUUGGAGACUGGAAAAGGGAAGGAAUGUGGCUUCUUUCAGCUCCAAGUUCCGGAGACGUGUUCCUUGAUCCAAGUGCCUGUAAAGAACAAUCCGUCCAGGAAUGCAGGGAGAGGAGGGCUCACCCCAAAGGGAAGACGCCACCUCUCCCCAUUCUUACCACACUAGGCUCCUAUGGGCACAUCCUGAGAAGACAAUUGAGGAGCUGGUCCCCUCUGACUGGCCCUCACAUAGUGGGUCAGGGUCUAUGUUGGACUCCAGAUUAGUUCAUAUCAUCAAAAGUGAUUUCCUUUGUCUAUCCCCUCAGCCCUUCUUUUCUUUUGUGGAGUGUGUGCAUCCCGAAUUUGGGUGUAAACAGAUGGAGAGAAAGUUGCAGAGCUCUGCUGACGCUUUAAGGAAGGCAAGACUGGCGCAUCAAGUAAUAAAAAAAGAUUUGGGGAACAAAAGAAUGGUGUGACUAAUACGUUUCUUUUUGGAGUCGGGGCAGAAUUACCUGGAUCUGCUAGGCAGUUUCAGCUGAGCUUUGGGAGGGCUGAGAGAUGACCCAAUGCUGAAGAGCACCUGCUGCUCCUGCAGAAGACUGGAGCUUGGUUCCUGUUACCCAUGUCACAGGGUUCACAACCACAGGGGAGCUGACACCCUCUUCUGGCCUCUGCAGGUACCUGUGUUCUCUCUCUCUCUCUCUCUCUCUCUCUCUCUCUCUUAAUAUUACCUGCUAGUCUUCAUAUGUCUCUGAUCUAAAGGGGAGGAAGUUGGAACUCAGCCUGGAUUUAAAGCCAGCUGUGGUUCAAAAAGGUAUAACUAAGUAUGUCGUUUAACUGUCCUAUCUAUAGGGACUGUGGGCCUGAACCCCAAACUUGGAUGCAUAUCUGUGACUGGAGGCCCUCUGUUAAUUGUGUGGGAGGCUUGUGGAACUCAGUUUCCAAGCUCCAUGACUGAGGGAGACUUAUGGGACCUCGGGCAGUAUGGGUCUCCAGCGUCCAAACGUGGGGCUCCAUCCAGGCUUCUGUACCCCGGUUUGACUCAGGCAGGUGGCGGGGAACCUGUGAAGUGACCUUGGAUAAGUCCCUCGACUUCUCUCACCAGCAAACGAAGACAGAACCAUCGUUUUCUGCAGCCGUCCUUGACUGAGGAGCUCAACGCUUGCAUGUUGUCUGUGAGCUAACCGGGCCACAGGGGCUGAGAGAUCCCUCAGAGGGUGUGGGCUCAUGCUGCCAGUCCUGACAACCUGAGUUCAACCUCCAGGACCCACAUGAUGGAACUGAAAGUUGUCGUCUUGACCUCUACAGGAGUCCUGCAGCAUGCCACACACAUACGAACAUACUUGCAUACAUAUAUACAUACAUAUAAUAAAAAUUAAAAAAGAAAAAGAAUCCUCCCCAAAGGAAAUGUUCUUUUCUAAGGCCAAAUAGAAUCCUCUCAGCAGAGGUGGUCUUGUCAGCCAAGCACCCUGCUCUGGUCUCUACCUGGAUACAAGCAUCUGGACUUGUGAUCUACAAAUCACAAGGCAGGCUAGGGGUGUGGCUCAGUGAUAGAGCUUUGGACUAGCAUGCCCCAGGCCCUGGGUUCAAUCCCAGGGCAGCGAGGAAAUAAAUGAAAGCCUUUGAACCUGUGUGGUCUUGCUGGGUGUGUGCUAAUGGCUUUUCAUUGCACACAUCAUUCCUGUUUCACAUGCGUGGAAAGCAAGGUGUGCUGGGAACGUUC